rnacentral:tRNA from 1 species
GUUUUCAUGGUGUAAUGGUGAGCACUCUGGACUUUGAAUCCAGAAAUACGAUCAAAGCA